UACGGAAGGUCCGGGCGUUAUCCGGAUUUAUUGGGUUUAAAGGGAGCGCAGGCCGUCCUUUAAGCGUGUUGUGAAAUGCCGCGGCUCAACCGUGGCACCGCAGCGCGAACUGGAGGACUUGAGUACGCUGUAGGUAGGCGGAAUUCGUGGUGUAGCGGUGAAAUGCUUAGAUAUCACGAAGAACUCCGAUUGCGAAGGCAGCCUACCGUCGCGUCACUGACGCUGAGGCUCGAAAGUGCGGGUAUCGAACAGG
rnacentral:rRNA from 1 species